GCCACUACAGAGCAGCCGAUUGGCCAGCGCUGCCGGCAGGCGGUGUCCGGCUGCGGCUAACGGGCCCCGCGGAGCAGCUGCUCCGGGCAGGUGGGGCCUGGGGGCUUAGCGCACCCCAGCGGGCGGAGCCAGCUACGUGCGGCUGCUGCAGAUCACUGGGAUGGCGAAGGAGUAACUCAGGGAGGUACAACUCUCUAGUGCCAGUUCCACAGCCAGUUGGAACCACCAUGUGCCUCUGUGCUGCACACAACAGACUUAGAGAGCUUCACAGCUGUGGCUGGGACAGAAUCCCCAUCACCUGCACCAAAGCACAAGGCCCCGAUGCCUGAGCUAAUGGAGAAUCUCUGCUAUCUGUUAGCAGUGCAGGGCCCAUGACAGCCAGGAAACUAUGAGAGAUAUAUGCAUUUACACACCAGCCUGUUCAUUACACACUUGCCUAUAUAGACAAAGCUUGCCUCAGAACCAGCUGUUCAAAUCUUCCAUUUGACAUCAACAUAAGAAAUCUUUGUGCACCAAGUGCUUCCAUCCCGUAACUUCCAGUCUUUGCAUGGGCUUGUCUGAGAUGGUUGGGACAUUGUAUAAAAAGAAAGACGACCCUGUUUACAUUAAGGUAUCACCAUUUGUGCACAAUUGUGAUAAAUCUUAUACAAGUAUGUCUUGUAAGGUAUCCAUGAAAGUCUUAUGAUCUGCUAAGUAUUAUUUUCCUAUUUAAAUCCAUAUAUCACCAUUAUAUCUGAAGUUAUGAAGAUUUGCUGUGUGUUUGUAUCUCACAUGUGUUGUGUUCCUGGAUAUCACCCACAAGACAGAUUUGCAUCAAGGCUAGUCAGCCAUGUGUUGAUGGCCCAUAAGGAGAAUCAUCUCUUCAGUGAGUCCUCCUGAGUAUUCUCAAAAGGCAUGCUGACAUUGGAUGACCCAUGACUCAGCAAUGGCAUGUAAGGACAGGUAAUCCAAGACUUUGUUUGUGCCAGUAACUUUCCAUGCACAUCAGCUGAGUAUAUAAAAGUGGAGACUGUGACAUCACUUCUUAGCCUCUUUCCUGCUCCACAUCUCUGGAUUAUGAUUUCUAACAAGAGUUUAGGACAAUGGACUGAGGGCCCCAAUAUUUGGGAUGAACCAGAGCCACUUAUUACAAACUGGCAGAUUUAACAUCAUUGGUAUUAACCUGAUCUACAAACUCUGAAAUCACCUGUAAUGUAUAUGAUUCAUUUAAACCUCUUAACUCUUCCUUUUUUGUAUACUAAUAAAUCUUUAGAUUUUAGUUACUAAAGGAUUGGCUACCAGCAUGGGUCUGGGUGAAAUCUAAAGUAUAUUUUGACCUGGAGUGUGUGUCUGGUUCUUUGGAAUCGGAAUAACCUAAUAUAUGUGAUUCUUGGUUUAAUAAUCAUUUAUCCCAAGUCUGGAUGGUGUAUGAGGGGCUAGAGGGCCUGAAGGAGAUUCUGUGGCUUCCUGGGAUCGUUAAUAGUUCUGCCAUCUUUCUUUGGAAAAUUUCAGGUGCACUGAUAAUCCUCAAAAGUAAACUCCCCCUAAGGGUGUGAUAAAUUAGGUUAGUUUAGCACUUUAUGUGAUUUUAAAGGAAUUUGCCAGAAUCCCUUUGAGGCAUCCAGCUUGGAGAAUACUGUAUCUCAUUUCAUUUUGUGGAGUAAGUCAGCCCGUGUCAAGAGCAUAUUUUCCCCACAGCUACUUCAUUGUCUUUUUAAGAUCCACACGGAUGCAUAUUUUUCCAUUUUUCAUUAUAACUGGUAUCACUGGGGCACAUCAUGCUUUUGGCUCAGCAAUUUUCUUGAUUAUGCCAAUCAUUCUAUUCUCUUCAAUGCCAUUUCCACUUUAUGAAGUAGUGGGAUAGGAAUCGUGCGAGAUGUAUGUACACUAUACAGUGCAGCAUUGUCUCUUAAGGUUAUUUGUACUGGAUCUCCUGUCAAAAGUUGAAUAUCACCAAAUAUUCCAUCGAGUUCUUCCACCUUUCUCACUAGGCCCAUCAUAGGGUGUUGGUUUGUGGUGCUUUGAUCACAUACAAUCUGAACACACAGCUUUAGUCUUUGUAAGCAAAUGCAGGCAGAGCUCUUAUAAAACAUUCAACGUUUCCUCA